GAUGAACGCUGGCGGCGUGCCUAAUACAUGCAAGUCGAGCGAACAGACGAGGAGCUUGCUCCUCUGACGUUAGCGGCGGACGGGUGAGUAACACGUGGAUAACCUACCUAUAAGACUGGGAUAACUUCGGGAAACCGGAGCUAAUACCGGAUAAUAUAUUGAACCGCAUGGUUCAAUAGUGAAAGACGGUUUUGCUGUCACUUAUAGAUGGAUCCGCGCCGCAUUAGCUAGUUGGUAAGGUAACGGCUUACCAAGGCAACGAUGCGUAGCCGACCUGAGAGGGUGGGCGGCCACACUGGAACUGAGACACGGUCCAGACUCCUACGGGAGGCAGCAGUAGGGAAUCUUCCGCAAGGGGCGAAAGACUGACGGAGCAACGCCGCGGGAGGGAUGAAGGUCGUCGGAUCGUAAAACUCGGUUAUUAGGGAAGAACAAAUGUGUAAGUAACUAUGCACGUCUUGACGGUAACUAAUCAGAAAGCCACGGCUAACUACGUGC
rnacentral:rRNA from 1 species